rnacentral:rRNA from 1 species
CCUACGGGGAGCAGCAGUAGGGAAUCUUCCACAAUGGGCGAAAGCCUGAUGGAGCAACGCCGCGUGGGUGAAGAAGGUCUUCGGAUCGUAAAACCCUGUUGUUAGAGAAGAAAGUGCGUGAGAGUAACUGUUCACGUUUCGACGGUAUCUAACCAGAAAGCCACGGCUAACUACGUGCCAGCAGCCGCGGUAAUACGUAGGUGGCAAGCGUUAUCCGGAUUUAUUGGGCGUAAAGGGAACGCAGGCGGUCUUUUAAGUCUGAUGUGAAAGCCUUCGGCUUAACCGGAGUAGUGCAUUGGAAUCUGGGAGACGUGAGUGCAGAAGAGGAGAGUGGAACUCCAUGUGUAGCGGUGAAAUGCGUAGAUAUAUGGAAGAACACCAGUGGCGAAAGCGGCUCUCUGGUCUGUAACUGACGCUGAGGUUCGAAAGCGUGGGUAGCAAACAGGAUUAGAUACCCCGGUAGUC